rnacentral:tRNA from 1 species
GGGCAGUAGCUCAGGCGGUUAGAGCAGCGGACUCAUAAUCCGUUGGUCGUGGGUUCAAGUCCUACCUGCCCC